rnacentral:rRNA from 1 species
UACGUAGGGGGCAAGCGUUGUCCGGAUUUAUUGGGCGUAAAGCGCUCGCAGGCGGCUCGAUGCGUCGUGCGUGAAACACCCCGGCUCAACUGGGGAGGGUCGUGCGAUACGGUCGGGCUGGAGGCCAGUAGGGGGAUGCGGAAUUCCAGGUGUAGCGGUGAAAUGCGUAGAUAUCUGGAGGAACACCGGUGGCGAAGGCGGCAUCCUGGACCGGCAUUGACGCUGAAUAGCGAAAGCCAGGGGAGCAAACGGG